CCGAGCCGCAGGCGCCCCCCAGCAAAGUGACACUUCUGUCCCGGGCAGGGGCACGGCCCAGGCAGGGCCCCCGGAGUCCCCGGCGGGGCCGAGGGCUGCAGCCUGGCCCUCUGCAAACCCAGCGCGCUUCCCUGCCAGCAGCUCGCCUGCUCCAGCCAGGCCCAGGGCACAGGGCCGAGCCCCGCCGACGCGAGCCCCGAGCAGCUCCGCGGCCUGUGCCCCAGGUGCUCUGGCGCCACGUGCCGGCCUCCGGGUCUGCUUGGGGGACACCGAGACCCUAGGGCCGUCCUCUUCGCAUUUCCAGGUCUGCAGUUCCCAGAGGGUGCUCCGGGGUGGGGGAAGCAUCAAACCAAGCAGAACGUGCACCGCGUGUUGUCCAAGAGCAGCGCUGGAAGAUGCUGUGAGGUGAGUAGUGCCCCCUGCAACAUGCUCCUGCUACGACGUCUUGCCUCACCAUAGGCCCAAAGCCACUGUCCAGUAGCCGUGGACUGAACCCUCUGAAACCAUAAGCCCAAAUAGCGCUUUUUGACUUUAAGUUGUUACAGUGAUGGAGAAAUAACUGACAUAAGAGUUAUAUAUAAGAGUAUAUAAGAGGGACUUCCAGGAGAACAUGGCAGACAGAUAGCAGCAGCUACGGAGGCUCUCUGUAAGACCCAGCUUAGAAUCCAGGAAUGGUGCAGAGUGAGGAAUCCUAAGCAAGAGGAGAUAUACCCUGCUGACCCAAGAACGAACUGGGCUGAGAGAAACCAACUGGGAAUGCAAUCCUGGUGCUAUAACAGGAACAGAUAAAGCCUCAGGAUGGAAGCUGGAGCCCGUGCCAUUGGAAGAUGCGGUUUGGGUUUUCUGCCGCCGCUGUAGCGUCUGAAUUGGCUUGGCAGGGAGAGAGAUGCGUGAAAGCUCUGAGAACAGGAAUCGGUGAACGGAGUUGAGAGCGGGACAGGCAGGGAGCUGUGCAUCAACCUGCAGUGAGUGAGAGAAACUGGGACUCUUCCACAAUCUAGGAGGCUCCAACAGAGGACAUUCUGGGACCAGGCAGACUUGCUGGAACAGGGCGCUGUAGUGACUUCAGUCACAUAUCCCCCUCUCAAGCGGGAUUGGUGAGCAAUGCCUAACCUACGUGACGCUGCUGGCUGAGACCCAGUAGGCUAGCACAACCCAGGUCCCAGCGCCUGAAGGUGACCUGGAGGGGCGGGCCCCACAUGGGCUGCCUGGUCUGUAACUCCCUGGUGCACUGCGGUGGGUGGGAACACCUAGCUGGCGCAAUUCAAACAGACUGUGGCCAACAGGGAAGGAAGCUGGGCCUCCUAUAUAAGCUUGUAUAUAAGGAACAAAGAAUAUGGGAAGAGGGAGCAACAAGAAAGGCUCCUCGGCCCCCAAUCCUGAGAAACAGGCAAUAGCAGACACAGCACCAAUAGACAUAAAGUGCUAUCUCCAGAGCCUCACAGACGAGUUCAGGAAUGAAGUUAUUAAUGACCUGAAGCAAGACAUAAGCAGAAUAGUUAGAGAAAUGCUAAGCACCACCCAAGAAAAAACAGAUGGUGGAAUGGAAGAACAGAAAAAAAAGGGGAGAAUUGUUUAAUGGAGAAAAUAGAGAAAGCAUAGAAUACAUGAAGCAGGUUCAAAGAGAUUACCAGGAAACUAAAAACUCUAUCGAAAACUGGCAUAACAGCUUGAAAGAAACUAAGGACAGAUUAUCUGAACUGGAGGGCAGAUUUGUAAUAUGGGAGCAUGAAAUGAAAAAUUUAAAAGGUAAAGAUACUCAGAUGUAUGAGGCAUACAGGACCCCAGCCACCUACAACCCAAACAGAGCUACACCCAGGCAUAUAAUAAUCAAAAUACCAUAAAUCCAAUAUAAGAACAGAAUAUUAAAAGCUGUCAGAGACAAGAAACAGAUCACUUACAAGGGAACACCCACCAGAAUUACAGCAGACUUCUCACACAAGCCAUCAAAUCAUGAAGAGCGUGGGGGAAAAUAAUUCCAGCUUUGAAAGAUAAUAACCUCCAGCCAAGAUUGAUAUAUCCUGCACAACUAUCCCUGGAAAUUGAUGGAAAAACAAAGUACUUCCAGGAUAAAGAGGAACUAGGGGAAUUUGCAAACACCAAUUCAAUUCUCAGAGAAUACUGCAGGAUAUUCUAAAAAAGAAAAAUAUGAAGAUUCCAGAAAUAGUGGCAGAGAGGCCACAAUUAAUGGAGCAGAAAACAAAAUGAAGAAGACAAACUGACAACUAAUGACAGAAAAAGAGCUCAACAGAAAUGAGGCAGAGAAGGUUGGAUGGUAGGAACAGCCAUUUUGGAGAAAACGAUGUCAUAAUAGGUAAUGCUGAUUUAGUAUUAUCUUGUUUUGAAGUCCCAUCAAGCUUUUGGUCUUCUGUCUCCAUAGGUCUUAACAUGUUAUAUCUUAUUGGAUUUUAUUAUAUGUGAUAGUAUAAACAAAAACUUUUAUAGACAAGGAGAUUAUACAGAAACCAUUGUUCAUUUUCUGUUAGUUGAUUCUAAAUACCCUGUAAUACUGUCAUUCUCUUGAAUGGUUUUACAUUGUUUUGAUAUAUUUGAUGCUACAGUAUACGAAGUUAUACUCAAAGAUUUCAAGGAAAGAGACAAUAUGGUAACUACUUUUGUGUCGGGAUUAUCUUGUGGUGAAACACUAUUUUGCUUAAACGGUUAUGUUUUGAUCUGCACUGUUUUGCUGUUAUGCCCUCUUUUAUCUCAAUCUCCAUUUUAUUAUUUACUUUUUUAUUUUUAUCCUUUUAGUUAAGGGAAAAAUAAAUUUUAAAAAACAGGAUAUAUUAUAGUAACCCACUUUGAUUUUCUAUUAACUUGAUUUGAAGCCCUGUAUUGCUCUCACCAUCUUGUUUUGACUGAUGUUCCUCUAUUCUGUUUUGCUUGAUAGUACCAGGUUCGAAAGUUUAGGCAACAGCUGUGAAGAUAGUGGGAUUCAUUAUGACGCCCAUUCUGGUUGACUAUUAUCUACUUUUGAAGACCUGUAAUGUUUCCCAUGUUUUGGUUUUGUUGGUUUCGUUCUUUACUGUUUUGUUCAAUUUUAUUAUAACUGAUGAUAUAGGCAAUUCUAUUAGAGAUAGCAGGAGGCAUUAUGGUAACUAUUGUUGAUCACCUUGUAUUAUGUUUUUACAUUAUCUAUUAUGUCCACCCUUUUGAUUUGACCGACUCUGUUCUGUUAUAAUAUUUGGUUUUACUCUCUUCCAAAAAAGUAAUAAGAACCGUGGGAGUAAUAAAACCCAAAAUGUGUAAUAGUCGUUGUACAAAAGAGAGGAAAAGAAAGUGCUCUAAAUGAUAUAACUUCAUGUAUAUUUAAGUGUAUAAGAUAGACAAUGACAUUACUAAGCUUUGUUGGAUCAUUGAACAGAACAGUUUGCAGUCUCACUGUUUGAAUGUCCACUUUAUAUGGUUUAAUUUUGUAACUUGAACAAAUAUUUCUAAGAUGACAAUAUGUAAUCCAGUAACAAGUAAUUUUGUACUGUUUAUUUUUUUCUGAAAUUCUGUAUAACUUGUACCCUUUUUUUUCUCUUUUUCUCCUUAAAUAAAAUGAAAUAAAAUAAAAGUAUAUAAGAGAAGCAGUGACAA